rnacentral:rRNA from 1 species
UACGUAGGGUGCGAGCGUUGUCCGGAAUUAUUGGGCGUAAAGAGCUCGUAGGCGGCGUGUCGCGUCGGCCGUGAAAACCUGGGGCUCAACUCUGGGCGUGCGGUCGAUACGGGCAUCACUAGAGUUCGGCAGGGGAGACUGGAAUUCCUGGUGUAGCGGUGAAAUGCGCAGAUAUCAGGAGGAACACCGGUGGCGAAGGCGGGUCUCUGGGCCGAUACUGACGCUGAGGAGCGAAAGCAUGGGUAGCGAACAGG